rnacentral:rRNA from 1 species
AAAUGAAUAGACGGGGGCCCGCACAAGCGGAGGAGCAUGUGGUUUAAUUCGAUGAUACGCGAGGAACCUUACCUGGGCUUAAAUGGGAAAAGACAGCCGCCGAAAGGUGGUCUUCCGCAAGGACUUUUUUCAAGGUGCUGCAUGGCUGUCGUCAGCUCGUGCCGUGAGGUGUUGGGUUAAGUCCCGUAACGAGCGCAACCCCUAUCUUUAGUUGCCAUCAGGUAAUGCUGGGAACUCUAAAGAAACUGCCUACGCAAGUAGUGAGGAAGGUGGGGAUGACGUCAAGUCAGCACGGCCCUUACGUCCAGGGCUACACACGUGCUACAAUGGCAAGUACAAAGGGUUGCUACCUGGUGACAGGAUGCUAAUCUCUAAAGCUUGUCUCAGUUCGGAUCGAAGUCUGCAACUCGACUUCGUGAAGUUGGAUUCGCUAGUAAUCGUAUAUCAGCAAUGAUACGGUGAAUACGUUCCCGGGCCUUGUACACACCGCCCGU